UACGGGGGGGGCAAGCGUUGUUCGGAAUUACUGGGCGUAAAGGGCUCGUAGGCGGCCGUCUCAGUCGGAUGUGAAAUCCCCAGGCUCAACCUGGGAAUGGCAUCCGAUACUGGAGGGCUUGAAUCCGGGAGAGGGAUGCAGAAUUCCAGGUGUAGCGGUGAAAUGCGUAGAUAUCUGGAGGAAUACCGGUGGCGAAGGCAGCACUCUGGGACGUGACUGACGCUGAGACGCGAAAGCGUGGGGAGCAAACAGG
rnacentral:rRNA from 1 species